rnacentral:rRNA from 1 species
UACGUAGGGGGCGAGCGUUGUCCGGAUUCAUUGGGCGUAAAGAGCUCGUAGGCGGCUUGGCAAGUCGGAUGUGAAAACUCCAGGCUCAACCUGGAGCCGCCAUUCGAUACUGCUAUGGCUAGAGUCCGGUAGGGGAGUGUGGAAUUCCCGGUGUAGCGGUGAAAUGCGCAGAUAUCGGGAGGAACACCGAUGCGAAGGCAGCAC